GACCAGGUAGCUCAGGUGAAAGAGCACUGGAUUUCUCAAGAGUGGUUUACCUAGUCUUCCUUGUGACGCAUUACACAUCCGGAUUGGGCACUGUUGAGAGAGGUCAGAGGUCGCAAGUUCAAGUCUUGUUCUGGAGAAAUCCU